UACGGAGGGGGCAAGCGUUGUUCGGAAUUACUGGGCGUAAAGGGCGCGCAGGCGGCUGCUCAAGUCAGGCGUGAAAGGCCUGGGCUCAACCCGGGAAUUGCGCUUGAGACUGGGCUGGCUUGAGUGCGGGAGAGGAUGGUGGAAUUCCCAGUGUAGAGGUGAAAUUCGUAGAUAUUGGGAAGAACACCGGUGGCGAAGGCGGCCAUCUGGACCGCAACUGACGCUGAGGCGCGAAAGCGUGGGGAGCAAACGGG
rnacentral:rRNA from 1 species